rnacentral:misc_RNA from 1 species
UAAUAAUAAUAAUAAUAAUUCACCAUCAAAGUGCCAUAAUUAAUCUUUCAUACUUCAGGUACUUCCCUUGUUUGUGAACACUUGUUCUCCAAAAAUUCCAUCAUCUUCCAUCUGAUCGAAGGCGCUAGUUGUUAGAUUUUCUUUGCUAAUAAAACUUGAUCAGUAGCAGCCACAUAUAAAUGACAAUGCUCCUUCAUCAUCUUCAAAAGGUCUUCUACUGCUUCAAUGUCUCCCUGACCUUUCAAAUACUCGAGACAUGUAGACAAAGUAUCGAGGUUGGGCAUCCAUCCAUUUUUACUUGUUGAUAUUGCUUUCUUUAUUACUUCUACUGCUUUCUUCAUCUGCUUGACCACAAGAUAUCCAGCUGCCAAAUGAUCCCAUGAGGUCGCAUCAGGCUCAUCCCACUCUCUAUAAUCUUGUUUAUGCAUGCUUUGGCCUUUUCCCAAAGACCUCUUUUGGAACAAACACCGAUCAUUAUAUUAGCAAUGCGAAUAUCAAACAGCCUCUUCCAAGAAUCCCACCCCUCCCAGAUCCUUUCAGCACCAUCCAUAUCAUCCAACUUCAACAAUGAACUAAUCAUAGAUAUAUAGCCUGAAUUGAAAAGCCUCCUAUUAUUCUUAUGCAAAUUCCAAACACAAUAGAAAUCAUCUUUAUUCCCAGCAGCAGCAUAUAAAGUGAGGAGAAUUUCCAAGUUUAACCAUUUUGAGUUAUCCUUAAUUAAUUGCUCUUAUCUCUUCAACAUCAUUAAAGCCUUUUCAAUUAGACCAGCUUUCAAACAACCAUUUUGCUGCUGUAAAAUAAGAAUGGGAGUCCAUGCUGAUAAAAGAAUUACCUUCCAUCUUCAUUAGAAGUUUCUCCAUUCCCUCAAUGUCAGAAGAUGCUGCAUAAGCAUUCAACCUGAUGUUAAAUGUGAAAAUGUCACAACUGAUGCCCUUUUCUUCCAUCUCUUGCAUUAGAAUGUCUAAUCUCUCAUAUUUACCCAUCUGAGAAUAAAGAUUGAACAUUACAUUGUAAGACAGUGGAGUUUUUACAAACUGCAACUCCUCCAUCUUUUGCAUGGUGCCCUCUGCCUUUUCUAAACAUUUCUUGUGUGCAUAGCAGUUUAAAAGAGAACCAUAAACCUGGUGACCUCUUGAAGUAUCAGGGAUGCUGUUAAAAUAUCUCUCUGCUUCAUCUAAACCAUAAACUUUGGAGAUCAAAUCCAACUGAGUUGCAACAUCUCCAGGUGACAGGUUAGAGUCACUUUGGUUACUCAUCCAUUGUGAUAUCUAACAUAAAAAUGAGACAACCUCCAGAGGUUUGGCACAACUAUUACGAAGUCAAAACUUCCCCAUAAAUUGCUUCACAAAUAGAAUUCAGCCAACUUUUAUAAUGAUAAACACAAGAUCCAAAAGUAUCAAUUAAGCAGUUUAUUAUAUAAAAGAGGAAACAGUGCCGUAAAAAAAUAGUUGCAAAUACCACUAGAUCAAAUGCUAAACUUUCUCAUACAAUUCAACUAAAACAUCAGUUCCUAAUCUUAACUAGUUGGGUCAGCAACACGAGUCCUUUGUCUCUGUUUCUUUUGUUCAAGACAAAAUUCCUGGGAAGUUAAAACAAAACUAAAUCAUAUUUCACCACUUACCCACAGUAGAGGGUGUUUGGAUUGACAACUCAGUAUUAAUUUUUGACUUAAUCAAUUUGAAAAUAAAUAGAGAUAGUUCUUUGGUUAACAGGUAUUAAUAGGUAUUUAAAAAUAACUUAAUUUACCAAAAUAAUAAAAAAAAUGUUAUGCAAUAUUUUUAAAUUGUUGAUAGUUUAUUAAAAAGAGAAUAAUAUUAGUAUUCUAAAAAUUUAUUAAAAUAAUAUAAUCUUUUACUUAAUAAAAAGUAAUAAAUAGAUUAUCAGAAUUAAGAUACUUUACUCAUAACUUCUAAUUUAUUUUGAAUAAUUUUUUUAAUAAAAUAAAACAGUUUUUCAUAUAUGAUCAAACUUACUUACAAGUCAAUUAAAACGCCCGAUGGACUGUUAUGGAUAAGUUUGGCAUUGCUGUUGAGAAAACAAAAAAUAUUAGUUGAAGAUAAUUAAAAACUAAUUUAAAGUUAAAUUUAAAAGCAGUCUUGCGCUUCUAAACUCAAUGCCAGACCCUAUAUUGUUCUAAGCCUCAAUCUAUCAAUCCUUUCACACAAAUUUAAACAAUUCCACAUGCAAAUAAAUCCCAAUUAAACCCAAAAUGUCAAAAUAUUAAGCACGAUUUCAUCAACAAAUGGGUAAGUGGGUAGACAUAAAAAAGAUAGAUAAAUGAGAGACCUGAAGGGCGUGCUUGAAGCGGCGGAACUUGCGAAGCUUCUUGAUGAAUUGGUGCAGCUCAAAUUGUUUAACGUCUUUGCCUUCUUCAAGCCAUUUCUCGAUAACCGGAACAAUCGAGACCGCUUGAUUUCCUGAGACGAAGAGUAAGAUGAAGUUGUUAGAGCAUCAGUGGAAAACAACUGCACAUGUAGCACAAUGCCACAGGUUUGGAUUUGAUCGCAGAAGCAACUUCAUAGUGGCGAAGAAAGAACAUAAAAUGGAAGCAGCAAGAGGGUGAAAGAGGAGCUAGAAGUUCAACAAAGGUUCAA